UAGGGAAUCUUCGGCAAUGGGGGCAACCCUGACCGAGCAACGCCGCGUGAGUGAAGAAGGUUUUCGGAUCGUAAAGCUCUGUUGUAAGAGAAGAACGUGUGUGAGAGUGGAAAGUUCACACAGUGACGGUAACUUACCAGAAAGGGACGGCUAACUACGUGCCAGCAGCCGCGGUAAUACGUAGGUCCCGAGCGUUGUCCGGAUUUAUUGGGCGUAAAGCGAGCGCUGGCGGUUUAAUAAGUCUGAAGUUAAAGGCAGUGGCUUAACCAUUGUUCGCUUUGGAAACUGUUAAACUUGAGUGCAGAAGGGGAGAGUGGAAUUCCAUGUGUAGCGGUGAAAUGCGUAGAUAUAUGGAGGAACACCGGUGGCGACAGCGGCUCUCUGGUCUGUAACUGACGCUGAGGCUCGAAAGCGUGGGGAGCAAACAGG
rnacentral:rRNA from 1 species